AAAUGUGCGUAAAUGCGAUUUCUUUGCACAAAAAUUUUCGUAAAAUACCACCACAUUACACUUGUGUGGGCGCCACCAUUUUUGUUUGCAAAAACAAGCAAGCGCCGAAAGAAAUCGCAUCCACGGGAAACACGUCGUGGCCGCCUUCUUGUUUGUUGAUCGCCCGUUUGAAGCGGCACACAUGUUGCGCUGCCUACAUGUGACGACUGUUUUUGCGCACCUAUGCUGCUCCAGACAUGCUUUCAG
rnacentral:lncRNA from 1 species